GGAGGGGCUGCCUGGAGCCGCCCGGGCCUCAGCCGCCCUCCUCCUCCUCGGCUGGGAGAGAGGCCCAGGGUCCGCUUCCAGAGAGCCCCCGCCGCCUUGGAGCUGUGGGCCAUGGAGCAGCCAAGAGCCUCGAAUUUCCAUGGAUUACAACCCACUUCCUCCGAGGUACAGACAGCGAGAUGGGAAUCAUGCAGACCAUCAGCAUUCUUCAACAUUACAGCAAUAGCAAGAAGAGGAAAAACUGCAACAACAUCCUCUCCCCAUUUGCCCUUUAUGAUGAAGAAUAAAGAAGACACUGAAUUUGUCCCUUCCAUCACCAUCACAAUGUAGCUGUUUUUUGUUUUAAAUCCCACAAGUUUUCCCUACAGGGAUAAAGGCAGCUUGGGAGGCCAGCAAACUUGAUCAUGGUUCUUGAGAGGAAGGAUUAGUCACUUUGUGUAGAAGGCAAAUUCAAUCUCUGCCCCAAAUGGGCACAAGAGAAUUGCUGUUUUGAAAAGAAAAAUAUCUCAAACCAAUUUCUCGCUGCAUCUCUAGGACUUAGCACUUCAGCAGGCUUUUUUUUAAGAUGAAGAAUAAAACCAUUUGUCCCAAGGAUACACAUAUUGCCCAAUUUGUACCAUAAACAGAAAUACUCCCAAAUGCAUACUGGGUUAAUAAUCCCUGCAUCUGUUGUUGUUGUGUGCCUUCAAAUUGUUUCUGAACUAUGGCAACCCUAAGGCAAACCAAUGAUGGGGUUUC